GCCCCGCCCCGUUGCCAUUCCUAAUGCCAUGACUUUGUUGCCUCUCAGAAUUUAAGAUAUGAUUUGGGUAUUGAACCUUGGGAGAAGAGGAUUUUGUCUGUCAAUGGAGUAGGCCAUGAGACCCGAAGCAUUGAGAUUGAUGGUGACCGAACCAGAGUGGUGGCGGAGUGGCAGUGACAAUGAUAGUAAUAGAUAAGUGGAGGUGAAGAAAUUAUGGUUUGAAAUGUUUGGGUGCAAGGAGAAGAAUUAAUAGUAGGGAAUUGUAAAAAUGUAAAAUAAAAUUUUAAUAUUUUAAGGGUGUA